CAUUUAAUAAAUGCCAAGCAGGGCAAUGCAGCCAAAUAUUAGAGUUGAUGUGCAGUCUUAGGUCCUUUUUAAUCUGGGGUAUUACAGGCAGUACUUUAAAUCAGAGUCUUCCUGGCCUUUUUCCCUCCACCUUUUUGUAGUUACUCGGGGGCUUACUUGUGCAGUACUAAAAUCAAAGGAGCUGGUUCUUCUUUUCUCCCAAUCUUUUCUUAGUAAUGAACACACCUACAACUAGCCUGCCACUCCCAAUCACACACAGCAGAUGUCAGUGCUGUGCUAAUAUUAGCUGCAUUUCCUGCAGGGCAGGGAUGCGACCUUGCACAUGCUAGGCAAGCUCUCUACCCUGAGCUACGUACAUCCUAGCCCUUAGAACUACCACCCUGAAGCAUCUUUGUUUCCUGUGUUCAGACGCAGACGAAGACCAACAUUGUUUUAUAUGUUGAAUUUAUAAAAUGCUAGUAAUUUAGAACCCUCCCCCCAAAUCAAGGAGGCAAAAAAUAACGCACUAGUCACUGAAGUUCAUCCUCAGUUACCUCGAUAGGGUAGGUAGAUUCCUAAUAGUGCUGGUGAGCAUCACAAUGCUGUGCAAAGAUUCAAGAGGAGGCAGUCACUGUACUUUGCCUGCUUUUGGGCCUAGAUAACGUCACUGUCUACAAAAAGCUAACUGCUUAGGUUUGAAAAGGCAACCAUGUAGAGAAAACUUGACAAUUGGGGCUCAUUGGGAAGUUCUAGUGCUAAUGUUAAAAACUCAAAUCAGCUGGCUAUUUGAAGAUGGCAAAGAAUAUAGUUCUGAAAUUUUAUUUUUCCACAACAGGGUGAUUGGCAGUGGUUGUUCUCCCUUUUUCUGACAGUGUGGUUCAGCUCCUGUUUCAGAUUCUGUGUCAUUUUUCAAUUUACAAGUCACUUAAGUUUCUACCUGGAAUGUCAGGUGGCAAUGACAUCACAUUUUGUGUUUUUUUUUUUUUUAAACUCUUAUUUAAGAGUAAGUUGAGUUGAACUGAAUCUUCCUUGUCUUAGUAACAUUGUACAAAUAGUGGCUUAUUUUUAAGUUGUAAUGCCUCCUGAUGGAUAUAAUUUUGUGCUUGUAUUUAAGAUUAAAAGUUGAAUAAAUAACACCAGCUUCCUGAAAAUGUCCAUAAUGCAUCAUUUGAAAAACAAAAACACCUGCCUACUUUACAUUAACAUGGUAAAGAUUGUAUGAAAUACCUGUUUUUCAAAAAAAUAAAAAUAAAGGUUCAAGUCUU
rnacentral:lncRNA from 1 species